rnacentral:rRNA from 1 species
GCCAACGCUGACUUGAGGAGGGAGCUCGGCGAAGCGCAGGCCGCCCUUCGUACCAAGGAUGCUGAGUACGCUGCCUUGGUCCAGGAGCGUGACUGCCUGGCCAAGAAGCUGGCUGACCAGGAGGAGAGCCACAAGGCGGCCCUGCAGGAAGCGCAGGAUAGCGAGGCCGCCCUGAAGGCAGAGUUUGAGACCGAGGCGGCGAGCUGGGCUGAGACCCGGCGAGCGCUGGAUGAAGGCUUCGGCCGCAUCGAGGACUUGAUCGACGACUACUUUCCCGGCUACUCCGCCUUCGCCGCCCAA